rnacentral:lncRNA from 8 species
AUGUUUAAUUUUAAAUUUAUUCAUUUAAAAAAAAAAAUCCCUAACGGACAUUUUGUAUCGGUUUUCUGCUAUAACGAUAAGAAAAAAAUCAUUCAAUUCCAUGUGAAUUCACAAUGCAACUGUUCUGCUGCCAGCAAUGGUUUGGGUCUCACGGUGCCUCCCUUUCAGAUGGGGAAGCGUUGGGUCUCACGGUGCCUCCCUUUCAGACGGGGAAGCUUUGGGUCUCACGGUGCCUCCCUUUCAGACGGGGAAGCGUUGGGUCUCACGGUGCCUCCCUUUCAGACGGGGAAGCGUUGGGUCUCACGGUGCCUCCCUUUCAGACGGGGAAGCGUUGGGUCUCACGGUGCCUCCCUUUCAGACGGGGCAGCGUUGGGUCUCACGGUGCCUCCCUUUCAGACAGGGAAGCGUUGGGUCUCACGGUGCCUCCCUUUCAGACGGGGAAGCGUUGGGUCUCACGGUGCCUCCCUUUCAGACGGGGCAGCGUUGGGUCUCACGGUGCCUCCCUUUCAGACGGGGAAGCGUUGGGUCUCACGGUGCCUCCCUUUCAGACGGGGAAGCUUUGGGUCUCACGGUGCCUCCCUUUCAGACGGGGAAGCGUUGGGUCUCACGGUGCCUCCCUUUCAGACGGGGAAGAGUUGGGUCUCACGGUGCCUCCCUUUCAGUCGGGGAAGAGUUGGGUCUCACGGUGCCUCCCUUUCAGACGGGGAAGCGUUGGGUCUCACGGUGCCUCCCUUUCAGACGGGGAAGCGUUGGGUCUCACGGUGCCUCCCUUUCAGACGGGGAAGCAUUGGGUCUCACGGUGCCUCCCUUUCAGACGGGGAAGCGUUGGGUCUCACGGUGCCUCCCUUUCAGACGGGGAAGCGUUGGGUCUCACGGUGCCUCCCUUUCAGACGGGGAAGCGUUGGGUCUCACGGUGCCUCCCUUUCAGUCGGGGAAGCGUUGGGUCUCACGGUGCCUCCCUUUCAGUCGGGGAAGCGUUGGGUCUCACGGUGCCUCCCUUUCAGACGGGGAAGCGUUGGGUCUCACGGUGCCUCCCUUUCAGACGGGGCAGCGUUGGGUCUUCCUCCCUUUCAGACGGGGAAGCGUUGCACCUCCACUACUAUUACAGGACCAUAA